UACGGAGGGUGCGAGCGUUAAUCGGAAUUACUGGGCGUAAAGCGUGCGCAGGCGGUUUGUUAAGACAGAUGUGAAAUCCCCGGGCUUAACCUGGGAACUGCAUUUGUGACUGGCAAGCUAGAGUAUGGCAGAGGGGGGUAGAAUUCCACGUGUAGCAGUGAAAUGCGUAGAGAUGUGGAGGAAUACCGAUGGCGAAGGCAGCCCCCUGGGCCAAUACUGACGCUCAUGCAC
rnacentral:rRNA from 1 species